rnacentral:snoRNA from 1 species
UCACAAUGAUGAGUGGCCCAACACGUGCAGUUGACACCAGAAUUUCAGAUGUUGGCAACUACCUCCUUGGAUGCAUGAGUGA